GCGCCCGUAGCUCAGUUGGAUAGAGCAACUGCCUUCUAAGCAGU
rnacentral:tRNA from 1 species